rnacentral:lncRNA from 10 species
GAGAGGCUGCUUUCCUGGGCCUACAAUUGGAGUUCCCUUCUCCUUGCCAUCCCCAGAAACUCCAAGAGCUGACCCUCUGUCUUACUAACUCAAACGGCCCAGAAACAUCAAAGUCUGACCAAAAACCGUUAAUGGUAGUCAGCUCCCUCCCUUUCACAGAGGUCUCACUACUGUCGGGGGGCGCCGGGCGCAGGCCGGGCAUGGGGCCUGAGCUUAGGCCAGGUGGAAAGGUGGAAGGACCUAGUGGGGACAGACGAAGAGACCGAGGAGCCGCCCGCCCGGCUAAAUGGACACAGGAAAGGCCUGAGUCAGGCUUCUCAUAAUAAAUAAACUGCACGUGAAUAAUUCAGCAGUCGCGCGGGGGCCGGUUGCAUCAGCGCCGCCGCCGCCGCGCGGCGCCCAAUUCCCCGCGGAGGGGAGUAGCCAAUUAAGGCACUUGAAAAGGGAGUCGGGUGGAAGAUCCCCCGCCCACCAGUAUCCUGGAUUUACCCAGGUCGAGUUCAGAGAGCCUCCCCGGUCCCAACCCCCUCGGGCCCCAUGGGUCAGGGGGCCGCCUGCUGGGAAGUGCUACCUCAGCUAAGCCGCUCAGGUGUCCCGAGACUCCGGGCAAGGGAAGACAGGCGGCGAGACGGAGCCAGAAUAAGGGAUGCGGACGUCUGACCUGUGGAAAACCCAGCAUCUGCAGUGCCCAGCCGCACAGGGAACGUGGGCGGCGUGGUUCCAAGCACAGUGAAGACGCCAGGCUCGGAUCUGUGCUCAGAGCCGGGAUCCCUCCGGGCUGCUUCGUCCUGGCCAGGACUUUCCUUGCCCUGAAGUGAGGCGCCAGGGAAGCUGCAGGGCCCUCCGCCCUCUCUGAACUCCCACGUACUUGGGCCUCUCCCAGCCUUUCUUGGACCUGUGGAAGCAAUUCCUGCAGGACCAGACUCCCCUGUCUCCCCGCGGCCCCCUAGGUACACUCCGUAACUUCCGAAACCUUAUUUCGUUUGAGCGAAACCCGGCCCCUUUGGCUCUUCCCACUUCCCACAAGUCCCUGGGUUCCCGAUCCUGAGGGAUUGCAUUCAUCCCAUCUCACACCCACCAACGCUCAAUCCCUCCAGUUCCUCCCCAGCCCCUUCACUUCCAUUAAUUAGGUCGACUCCCUUCCUUCGCCGCUCCCUCCUGUCCCCACUCAGCCUCCCUACACCUAUGCGGCGAGCCUCGGGCCAAGACCUCCGCCCUGGCUCCGCCAGUCCUGCGGGGGCCGGCAUGCACCAGACCUCAAAAGGGAUCUUCACGGGAAUUCCGCAUAGCCAGAUCCCAAGCCUCCAGGGAGGCCACCAGCCCUCCCCCAUCUUCUUCUUCCUCCUCCGUCUCCUUUCCUCUUCCCUCCGCCUCUACGUAUUUCUUUCUAUUCGUUUCUUUUCGUUUGGUGAGGUGCCACCCGCCACAGCCCUGUCCCCUAGGGAGAGGCCUGGACUAACUUUGCCGUCCUCGUGGCCUUAGCCCGGACUGUGAGUCUCGAGCGGCUUCCGAGAGGCAGCUCGGGUGUCUUCGCAGAGACAGAUGAGGUGGGCUGGCGAUUCCCUAGCCUCAGAUGGCUCUGCCACCAGCCAGCUCUGUGAUCCUGGCCGAUGGGGUGCCAGGCAUUAGAAACCUUCCCUCCAAUCCUCACCAUGUCUCCAUUUUGCCAAAGAAGAAACUGAGGUUAAGGUCGCGAUGCUCUGGCCAGCAUCACAGGUAAACGAUUUUGGCAGUGCCCGGAGAAAGAUAGAAGUAAGACCUAAAGAGGAACUUUCCGCAUGUUAUGGGAGAGCCCCUGGGGCGAGGAGGCGAGGGCAGCCUUCCCCAGGCCAAGGGAGCAGCCAUCGCUCUUGGAUCUGUUUUUCCUCAAGCGUCUGUCCUGUGGGGCCUAGUCCCCAAGCGGCAGUCCUGGACCUAACGGGAGAAGGGGCUGGGGGAAGAGGGCGCACCCCCAGCCCGGGACCCACAGCAGCCCUAGCCAGUCCCCCACUCUCUCCCUCUGUAGGGGCCUCUCUCUGAGAUCGGGUCCUCCUCCUGCAGGGCAGCAGAGUGGAAGCCAGGGCCUGGGACCCUCUGGCUGGGCAAGGAGGGACUGGAGUCCGGCUCCCGGUGACCCCGUCCCCAGUGCCAGCGGUGGGGUCGCCUGUGGCGGCCCGGACAGGCCACGGGUCCCUCUCCCCAAGUCCCAUUACGUUGUAUUUAUGUUUCAUUUUAUAGUUUUUUUUUCCUCCUCCCUUAUUAUUGUCUCACUCUGGGGGAGGCAAAGGAUAUAAUAUAUUCAUCUUUAUUAUACCAAAUCUGUGUGAAGCAUUUAAUAAAACGCUGUUUCCACACAGCCAGGGAUAUUAGUGUGAGCUAUCCUUAAGUUAAUGCUCCUGGACUGAGGGCGCCGCUGCCACAGCGCCUGCUGCCGGCGGGUCGCGGGAAGCGUAGGCCCUGGCCGCCGCGCUCCCCGCGCGGGUCCAACGCCCUGGGUGCCCUUCUCGCCUGCGCCUUGAAGCCCCCACGCCCAUCCUAGCGCGUCUCUCUGUGACCUCUCGGCCGCCAGCCUGGGAGGAGGGGUUUGGAAGAGCCGAAUUCAAGCACCCUUCCUCUCCCCUGCCACACCCUGCAUUUCGAAUCCGCUGUGGGCCUUGGCUUGCAUCUAUGAAAAUGGGAAGAAUUCCAUCACUGCCUCCCUCUCAGGGAUCUUGAGAGGCCGAAGAUGCCUUGAAGGUGGACAGGAUUUUUUAAACAGGAAAGAAAAAAUCGAGAAUUUGUAAGGUCAGGAUCAAUGAGGGCCAGAGAGAAAUAGAGAGGCUGCAGGAGUGGUUUCAGGCAACACAGAGCGAGCUGGACCCCAGGCGAGCAGACAGGGUGCAACUCCAGUUUGGGCAGAACCCAGGAGGUUUCGGCAUGCCUGGGCCUCACCCCAGCCCACGAAGACAGCUGAACCUAGUCAGGAUCUCGGCCUGUCACAGUUGGCCCUCUCAUAAUCCUCCCUCUAGGUAGGAAAAUAGUCUUUUUAAGUCCAGUUUUACAGCUAGCAAACUGAGGCUCACAAAGAUCACGUGGCUUGUUUGAGGUGAACAAACUAGGAAGUAGUGUAGCUGGUCACACUGUCUUCCAGACUCCAUGCCCCUCCCCGCCCCCAUUCUCCAGGGUUUUUCUGUAAACCUUACAUUCUGCCUUCUACACACGCGCGCGCGCACACACACACACACACACACACACACACACAUCCCUACCUGGAGAUGCCCAUGGGAAGGAGAAACACCCUCAUUACUUUCUAUAUCCAGGCCCACUGCUCAGUGUCUUUCAGAGCCCACCACCUGGCUUCUUAUAGGGCCCAGAUCUGGGCACACCAUUCUUACUUAGGCUGCUUGUACCUGUGCUGUAGGGGAGAGGGAGUUGGCUGUAACCAGGCAAAGCCAGGCAGAAGGAGUCAUGCAGGACAGGCUUGAAGUGGGCAGGUGAGUCUCCCUGGCUAGAAUCCAUACUCUCCUAGGAAUCUCAGUCUUCCUCUGCCCCCAUCACCCCAUCCCUGGGAGUGGGGGCUGCACAAGCUCAACACACAUCCUGUAGGCUGCUGGUCAGAGCUCCUUUGGAGACUUAAGUUACUUGAGAAAUCUGACAGUUCCCCCCUGGGGCUGGCUGGGGAGGAGGCACAGACUGUGUGGCAGGGCUAGGACUAGGGUGAGGCAUGUGAGGUGCCAUAUUUAAGGAAGGCAUCUGCUCUCAGCUCUGUGUGUGAUCCCUUAGGUUUUGUGCCGUGGGCAUCUCACUCGCCUCACCCUAGUCCCAGCUCUACUGUGUGGUCUGGGAGUUAGAAUCAAGUCCAGUGAACUGCUGAGAGGGGACAGGGAGGCUGAUUUCAGCUCAUCCUUGAGAAUGGCUUUCUGAAGGAUCAAAGUGGAAACAAUGGAAUGAGCUUCCCCCAACACAUGGAGUAUGCAAGCAGGGCUUAGCGCUUGCUAAGAAGGAAAAUAAUCACGGUCUUAUUGUCAUCACCAAUAUUGUCCUCAUUUGACCAUCACUUUGUGUCAAGUAAAAGCUGUCAUCACAUUGUUUCAUUUAAUGUAUAUAAAUAUGUUUUAGCUGAAUAUGGGAUAUCAGAGUCUCUGACUUUGGGGUCCUUUCCAGCUCCAAGAGUCCAUUGUUGCAUAAGACAAAGAGCACUUCUGUUGAUUUUUGUUGGUUUGAUGCAUUGUCAUUAUUUGUGGACUUAUAGUCUUAUACUAAUGGAUAAGACUUUGAGGGCAGGGACUGUGUCUAAUCACAUUUUUUUAAAUGAUUCCCUCUCCUGUUCCAUGCUGACCACGGGCCUGGGGCACAUAGAAGCUGUUCAAUAAAUGUGUAUCAAACAAACACAUGAGUAA